GAGUGCCUCGAGCGUUAUCCGGAAUUAUUGGGCGUAUAGGGUGUGUAGGCGGUCUUGUUAGUCUCUCGUUAAAUUCUUCGGCUUAACCGGGGGUCUGCGGGGGAAACGGCAAGACUAUGAGGGUUUGAGAGGUUUGCGGAACUCAUGGUGUAGGGGUGAAAUCCGUUGAUAUCAUGGGGAACACCAAAAGCGAAGGCAGCAAACUAGCAAAUUCCUGACGCUGAAACACGAAAGCGUGGGGAGCAAAUGGGAUUAGAUACCCCAGUAGUCCACGCCCUAAACGAUGAUCUCUCGGUUUUCGGAGUAUCGACCCUCUGAGAGCCUUAGCUAACGCGUUAAGAGAUCCGUCUGGGAAGUACGGCCGCAAGGCUA
rnacentral:rRNA from 1 species